rnacentral:lncRNA from 1 species
UUUGUGUGCUUGUCAGAUCCCCUGGAACUGGAGUUACAGAGGGCUGUGCUACUGUGUGGGUGCUGGGAAUUGAUCACGCUUCUUCUGGAAGAGCAAGCACUGCUCUUUACCACUGAGCCCUCUGUUAGACCCUCCCUCAUUUUAACCUUAUAAGCACAUGGUUCAGUUUGUCUCCUCUUUCUGAAGCUCUGUGAUCACCUCUGGCCUGGAUAUUCCAUCUGAACCUCUUAUCUCACCCACAGGAUCCUCGAGCUAUGUCCAGUGACAGAUUCAUAGGUACUGAGAAUUGUAAUGUGGGAGUUGACAGCAAUGGGGAUGGAGGGCUGUUUCUACUACACGGACUGCCCCUUCCUCCCACACUUAGUCACCCCCAGUUCCUAGAAUAAGGUUCAGAGGACAUGAAUUCCAAUGCUAAUCAGCAAUUCUCUCACCUGAGCGUGUGACAGGAUCAUUUUGGAGAUGGUCCAGUAUCAACAGUGUCACCAGGUUCUCCCUCAUUCACAUCUGGCAACAUGUGGGGCAGUACACAGCUGUGUUCCAGCUGAAGCCAGUGAGUCAGACUCAGACUUAUCCUACAGUCAGGAACCUGAGGCCCUGAGAGGCAAACAAAGUCCCCACAUGCAUAUGGGGCAUGUCUGCAUAUAGGUGGCCACCUCUCUAGACACACCAGAAAAGUGCAUCAAACCCCAUUACAGGUGAUUGCUGGGAAUUGAACUGGAAGAGCAGUCAGUGCUCUUAACCACUGAGCCAUCUCUCCAGCCCCCCACAUCUGUAAUCUUACCACUGAGGAGGUGGAGGCAGGAGGAUCAGAAGUUCUCGGUCAUCCUUAUCUUUACAAACCUGGAAUACUCAGAAACUCCCUUGGGCCCCUUGCUCCAACCGCCCUAGCUGCCUAAACCUUUUCCCACAGUCUGGUCCUGGUUAUGAAUGAGCCAGCAACUAACAGGUAUUGUGAGUCCCAGAGGAAGCCCCGGGUCAUCUGGCCACACUGCAGUGACUGCUUGAGGUCUCCUGUGGAAUUCUGGCACAGGAUAGAUGGGCAGGGAGCUGGGCAGGGAGAGAAGGGGCCUUGAACUCCUCCUGCCCCAUCUCACCCUCCUUCUUGUCCCUCCCUGAGGCCUCAAGGUGGGAGGGCUACAGGUAGCCCCCCCCCACUCCCCUGCUCCAUUUCCCUGGGGCCUGGAGUUGUGGGGGUGAGCAUGAGAGACAGAACAACAGAGCUUUGAGGUCGUAUCUGUGGCGGGAAGUGGGGAAGAUAAGGGCUUCUCACUUUCCCCGCCAUCCAGGGAGAAGAUAACUAGGGGACGGGGGUGGGGGUGGGGGUUGUGACAGUCCUGGGUCCUCACGACAGACUAGCAGUGCCAGUGAGGCCAUCCACCUGCCCCUGGGUCUCCCACUACCCAUCCAUUCCCCAAGACUCCAGGCUGAAACCAAAGGAGCAGCUCGGAAGGAUGGCGGAGACGAGAGGGCAGAUAAAGCUUCAGGCUGUGUUGGCCUGUGCCCAGACUCCUGUCACCCGAACUGCCCUCACUCCUAUCCACCUGCACUCUCCCAAGCUACCCCUAUGGCACAGACUGCCUGUAGCCGUUUACCACUGCCAGCCCUUAAAAGUGGCCAGUCUAGAUACAUAUGGUGCCACAUGCUAUAUAGUCUUACAGUAAUCUCUGGAGAAAAAAAAAAACUCGACGGGAUUAAGGAGUGGCAGAAGUUCGAGGCUAGCCUACACC